AUUGAACGCUGGCGGCAUGCCUAACACAUGCAAGUCGAACGAGUAGCGGACGGGUGGGUAAUUUCUGGGAAACUGCCCGAUCUAGCGAGCUAACUACUGGAACCGGUAGCAAAUACCGCAUACCAUCGUAUUUGGCCAGAUGGAAUUAUCUAGUGGGUGUGGUAACGGCUCACCUAGGCGACGAUCCCUAGCUGGUCUGAGAGGAUGACCGGCCACACGGGAACUGAGACACGGCCCAGACUCCUACGGGAGGCAGAAGUGGGGAAUAUUCCGCAAUGGGCGCAAGUCUGACGCAGCAACGCCGCGUGGAUGAAGAAGGUUUUCGGGUCGUAAAGCACUGUCGGCGGGGAAGCGUUACUCGCAGAAGAAGCAACGGCUAACUACGUGCCAGCAGCCGCGGUAAUAC
rnacentral:rRNA from 1 species